GGUAUUAGAUGGCAGGUGGAAUUGAGAGCACUUUGUAAAAGGAAGAACAGAGACUUCUUGGGGCCCAGAAGAAUAUUUUAUAAUUCAAAGUGAGGAGAUUAGAGUGGAGAUUUUGCCUGAAGAAAUACAUCUGGGUGUGGUGUGGAAGCUGGGAAAGCAGGAUUUGAGACUGUUCUUAGAGAGUGUUGGGAUUAUUCUAGAAAGUUUACAAAAAUUCAGCUUCUAGAUUUCAUUCCCAGUAGUUCUAAUUUGGGCUGAUGGUGAGAACUGAGAAUCUGCAUUUUAUGCAAUUCCAUGAAUUCUCUUGGACUAGUUCACACUUUGAGAUUGCUGCCAUGGGAUCCAUGACUGAAGGCCAUAGUGAUGUGGAACCAUGGUGGCUUGGGAGAAGGCUGGAUGGGAGUGGUAGGCCACCAUGCCACAGGUAGGUAGUGGCAAGUGAGCAGGGGCAAGAGGAAGAUCCAUGUUUAGCACUUCUGAUCUGCUCUCCCCAGCUCCCAGAAGUGCACACCAACAGCUGUGACAACAUCUCUCAGUUCUCGGUGGACAGCAUCACCAGCCAGGAGAGCAAGGAGCCUGUGUUCAUUGCGGCAGGGGACAUCAGACGGCGCCUUUCAGAACAGCUGGCUCACACUCCCACAGCCUUCAAACGAGACCCUGAAGACCCUUCUGCAGUCGCCCUC
rnacentral:lncRNA from 1 species